AUCUUUAACACUCUCUGCUGCUCCUGGAGGCUGCUUUUAACUGCAUGCUUUAGCUUAGAGACAGCCAACAUCAUCACUGAGCACACUGAUUUCAGCAGCAACCAAGCACUGAGCAGUGGCAGAGCUUGCAGGAAGCCAAGGCUAACUACAAAGUUUUGGAAAAAGCUUCCACUACUAAAGGCAACUGGAAAGCACUGGGUACCUGGAUGGUGGUUUUCCUUUGUGACAGUUUGCUUUUGUCAUACUGAAAAGGGCUGCUAAAGGAAAAAUGCCCAUAUAAUUUCCAUCAGCGACAGUGGCACAGCCAACCACCGGAUGCCCUGAUUUGCUACCAGUCUGAAGCCACUGUCUGCAAAAAUGAAUGAGCCGAAUCUCUGCUGUGACCUUCUCUUUUAACAGUGUACCCCUUACUCUGCUACUGCUGCUUUCCUUCACUGUGGCACCAUCAUCUCGCCUACUGACUGAAGAGCAUGUCUUGCUCUUUUAGUGAAGGAAGCCAUGUUUUCAGUAUAUCUCCUUUUACUGAUAAACAGCUGGCAGUGUUGACAAAUGACAUCCAGGGAAUAAUAUGGUAGAUGGCAUUUACUCUCCUUGGGACACUGGCAGCUAUAGCGAACAAUAGCGGAUCAACCUUCAGACACUGAUGUUUUGUAGUGCUGCCAUUCCGUAUAUCCAGAUGAAGCUCUCACAGCCACCCAAAUCUUUCUGAAUGUGAAUGUUUCCAAGCAUUUCCUGAAUAUUAAGAGCAUCCUAAUAUCAGUCGACUCACCCACAUCUAAGGCUCCAUAGAGGAUCUCUGGAUUCGUGCGCACAUGUAGGUAUGACACAAGGAGUCUCCACCACCUGUACGCUCUAAAAGCAUGUUCACAAUUAUAGCACCUGGGUUGCGCCAUGCAUCCCCAUAUGGGCAUACUGUUUUGAAGAGACACACAGUGUUUUGCAUCACUCCUUAUUCAGGACUCUCUUUCAAAGGCUCAGUUUAGUAUUAUUAGUUGAUUUAAUAUCCUGCAUUUGAGCUAUUUAUAUGUACAACUUCUAUAUUAGUCUUUAUGGAAAAGUCCUUUGGGAUAUGUUAGAAAACUUUUCCAAUAAGUUUUUUUUCCCCAAUAAGUUUUUUGAACCAUCCAACAGAAUAUAAUAGAAAAUAUUAUCCCUGUUAUAGAUCACAAUUCUAUAGGAUGCUUUCAAAUUUCCAUAGACUUCCAUAAUGUAUUCACUUCUAUAGAUUUAUAUAGAGUAUUUUCUACUAUAUAGAAUUUUUCAAUAGACGAAGGUAUUUUAGAUGUACAGGUAGUAUAUACAAACAUUUUGAUGAUAUUAUUGUUACAUUCUGGUUCAUAAUUCCACCUUCAUCAUCUUCCCACUGAGCUCUCUGUAAAUGUCAGAAUUACCUGGCAUACCUGGAGCCUAUAGCACUAGAUCAGCUGUGCUUGGAUGAGAAGAGAUUACAGUCUCCAUCCCACAAAUUGAUCUAUUUGGGAUGGGUGGACCUUAAUGUUCCUGAGAGUAACCAAGGCAUCCAGCCCUGGUGAUUAUCUGGCAAGAUUGCAGCUUCUUUAACAGAUCACCAUUAAUUAUUUUAAUUCCAAAUGUGGAAUCAAAACUACUUAGGAUCCAAGUCCAAGGACUCCUGCUUGGGGAUGCUGAAUGGAUACAAAAUCUACAUACAAAUCCCUCUGUAGGAUCAAGACUUGAUUUUAUGUCUUUUGGAGCAUGCUGUCUAUACUUUUGUGGAGACAUGCAAUGCAUUCUCUGUUUCUCUGACAAAGGGAACCUGGAAACUUAUUUGAGGACAGCAGGCAAACUGCAGUUAGCAAAUACUUUGCCUUUUAGAAAGAAAGCAGUGAUGAUCAGUGAAACAGAAAAGUCUUGAGAUCCUAUAUGUAGUUCUGCAGACUUUAAUUAUUCUGUUUAUUUUUAAAUCCUGGGUUUAGUAACAAUUCAAUCAUACUACAGGUAUGAGAGCCACAGCAAUGUCUGUGGUUAACAAUAGUGUAUAAAGGCUGCAUAAUCUAAUAACUGAAUGAGCAGGGCUUGUAUUUAAAAAGAUAAAGUUUUAAAAGAACAACUUUGGGAGUACUUCAGGACAUUAUUUAUGGGCAACAGAGAUUUCUGCCUCUAUCUUGCAAAUUUGAAUAGACCUGCAGCUGGUAGUAAAUGGAAUUCAUGGAGAAGCUAGGUUAAAUUCACUAAGAAAUGGGGUAAUUUAAAAAAAUACUUUUUACAAGAUAGCAUGGAAUAAGGAUAACUAUUUUGCAGUAUGGAAAGGAGAGAGUCAAUUUGUCCACCCCUACAAGAAACUUGACAUUUAGCUAAUGAAGGCUAAAGAUGCCUUUGUGAUUAUAUAUUUAUUAAUAUCUUCUACUCAUGGUAAAAGGUCAGUAGAAAUGGAAUCCUUUAUAUAGCAAAGGGUAAUCUGUCUUCAACCAAUCAAGUGGUCUAAUUGACUGAAUAUUUACAAAUAUUUCAAAAUUAAAUUUGUGCUAAGUUACAUGAAACAGAUCCUUUAUGAUCCACUGUUUCUAAACCCAUGUGUGUUUGUUAGAGAGAGACAGAGAGAGACAGAGAGUGAGUUUGGAAAUUUCUUUCACUAAAUAUGCCAUUGCAGUGGUUAGAAACAUUACUUUAUAUGAGCAUGUUGCUUUGAUAUUUCUCAUUAAAUAUAGGAGUUGACGUGUCAUUAGAAAGACGCACCAAAUCAUGGUAGCCAAGAUCUCUUCAUCAUAGCUCAAAUCAUUACAUAUUAUAUUAAGUAGGCUAAUAAUUGUAUACAGAAAUAAGGGGAGGAGAACAAUUUUUGCUCUUCCUAUGGCUUUGUACUACUCUGCAGGAAAGAUAUGGGGGUCUGGAAACUCUGCUAUUGACUAUUCUCCUCCUAAAUAUAGUUUCAUGCUUGAUCUCAAUUUGCCAUAUGAUUUGAUGUCUAAGUUGCAGAUGUGUAGCGUUGUCAGGGCUAUUCCCUCCACUAAUAAUCAACCAUGUGGAGAUACACUGGAACAGAAAGUCUACAUUCCCGUCACAGUUUCAUUGUGGAGGAAUUGCAGAUAGCUACCUUCUGGUACUGUGAGCAAUGGAAUGGAUUUUAUGCAGAUUUAUGCAGAUAUUCAGGAUGUGUUGCUUCCGAGCAUCAAGAGCAGCAAGGAAUGAGAAAGCCAAAAGAUUUUGGGGAACGCAAAUCAGCAGCAUCCAAAGUAUUAUUAUUCUGCAAAAUAAGAAAUAAAUAAUAACUGAAUGCAAUUUUCUGUCAUGGCCUACAGAAAAUAACUAGCUUUCACACAGUCACUUGGGUGUAUGCCUCUAAUGAAAGAAAACAGAGACAGAAUUGAAACAGUCCCCUUAGAUUUGAGUCAGAAUGUGCCAAAUGCCUCAUGAUUUUUCAGGGCCCAACUCAUUCUUUUUUUUAAUCCUGGGGGAUUGCAGGACUGUUUGUGGGAACUUGUAAACUUUGUCAAAGUACUUGGUAUUCAUGUAAGUACUACCAGAAUUCCUAAUGAAGUUAUAGAAACCAAAGUGAUUUUCCAUGGGCAUUGGGCUGCAGAGAGAUCCUUAUAUCAGGCUGUUCCAGCACACUCCACCCCUCAGAUCCACCUCAUAUGCCAGACCUAUCCUCUCCUUCCUGCUUCUCAGAGUCCAAGAACUGAAGCCCUUCUCACAGGCAAGUCUCUUAUAAGGAAACCAGGGGAAACCAUGGCCUCAUAUCAAACUUCAGGGUAUGAGGUCACAGGAGACAAAGCUGUAGAUUCUCCAUACAUACCUUCCUCCUUCCCUGACAUAUCCAGUUCCCAUGUGUGCUGCUGUAUGGACAAUUCCCAAAACAGUAGUGCAACUAAAGUGUGUAUAUGGGGACACAAACACACAAACUAGCAGCUACUACUGAUUAACUAAGUAAUCACGCCUUAAGUUGUGACCCAGCUACAUGUUCAACCAAUUAAUGGCGUGAUAAAAAAAUAAGCUACAAAGUCAUUCCACAAAAAAAAGGUGUAAUGAUUUUGUAACUUGUUCUAAUCACACUAUUAAUUGAACAUGUGGCCAGGUGCUCCCCUGUGGCUCAGAUCGCCAUUAACUGAGCAGCUUUGUCAACUGCAAGGCUUGCAGCAGGGAGAGCACUGCCCUUCUGUGAGCCUCCCCCGCUGUGGGGCUUGCAGUGGGGGCUCGCAGAAGGGGCAGCAUCUUUGGCUGCAGGGCUUGCAGUGGGGGCAGCAGGCAGAACACUGCCCCUGCUGCAAGCUCCAUCAAGCCCCGUCAGCUGUGGGGUUUGCAGCCACAAGAGCCAGUGUAGGGAAAGCUGGGGAUCAUGGUUCCUGCCCUCCCCCUCCUCUCACCCCCGCACCAGUAAUAGGUAAUGAUGGGAUCUAAUGUGCAAUCCCACCAUCAUGCUUCCUUCCAUGAAUGUGGGGCAUGGCAGGAGGCACGAGGGUGUGGAUUGUGCAUUAGUUCCUAUUGCGCCUUUACCUGCACAUUAGCAGGGCCCUUAAAAGCACACAAAUCUCAUUUGACUUACGUCUUGCAUAGUAGAAUUUCAGUGAUUCUUCUGCCAAAUACUUCUACAUGAUUAGGAUGAAAGCAUUUGCCUGUGAAGAGAGAAGUCUUCAAUGCUAAGGACUAGAGAAAAUUUAAUCUUUUAUUAAACAGAUUCAGUUCUGCAUUAAAAAUGCAGUAGGCCUGAUACAUACCUAAAUACUGGAAAACAGGGCAAUAUAUUGGGCCAAAUCCUUGUUCCUUGCUAAGACUCAACUCCCACAUAUUUCAGAGAGGAAUUAAACCUAAGCAAAGAUUUCAGAGUUUGUCCCAUUAUAUUUAUUGCUGCAUCAUAGAAAUGGGAAUGGAAAUAUUAAUGCUUCAGGAUAUUGCUUAGCUUCAGUAAAACACUUGCAGAAACUAUAAUGAAACUUUUGAAAGUUCUGCCAGAUCACAAAGCCAUUGAUCCAACUGGUGACCACAUCAGUAAGUCAAUUAUCAAGAAUAAACAGAUGCAUGAGUAUUGAGUGACUGCGUAGUGAUGGAAGUAAAGGGCUAUACUCUGGCUUUUGUUCUUACCCCAAAGUCAAUGAAUGAAAAUCUAUACAGAGGUUGUACCAUCAGAAGAUGUUUGACUCUUAAUAUGAAGGUAAAAUUGGGUACAAUUCCUUUGUACAAUUCACCAAUAUAUGAGUUUAUCUAAAAUGAGCACCUAUUUAAUUUCAGGUAGAAUAUGGUGCAGGAUAACAUUACCAUUUUUAAUAUGACUGUAAGAUAGUUUGGGAGUUGUAAUAGAAACCAGAAGUACAAGUUGAAUGCCAUCUUUUUUUGUUUUGUUUUAGGCUUUCAUGUUGACCUCUGAUCUACACAAAUUUAAAAUCUGUUUUACAUCAGAAGUUGUAGAGACAUGAGAGUACAUGGGAAAAGAAUAGUUCUGGGAGUUUAUAGAAAACCAGCUAAGUUUUCUUGAACUCCAGUGGGAUUGAUGACAUAAGAGCAAUAAACAGUAGGUGAUAGGAAGGAUUGAAGUAUAAACAAAAGCACUUUGAAGUUUCAGUGUUUUAUUGAUUGUGCUCAUAUUUUCAAAUCAAGGUCACUGUUUCUAAAAAAAUAUACAUAAGUAGGUAACACAUGCCAAGAGGGAAAGAGAAAGAAAUGUAAUUGCACGGAAGUUCUGCAUGGUAAGCAUUGUUCAAAUAUGUGGACUAAAUUACCCACAUUUUUCUUGUAUUAAAAAUAAGUGAAUUAUUUAAGAGUAUCUAGUUAGAUUAAACCUCUAAGGAAACAAUUAGAUCUGUCUGGAGAAUCCACUGGCGCUGAUGAGAUUGCACAUUUGCUGAGAUCUGCCCAUGCAGAAUCCAAUUGCAAGGCAUAACUUCUAAAAUAACUGAUUUCAGGUCUAACUUUUCAGUCACUAUGGUCUCCAUUUUGCAAACAAUUAAGCAAUUGAGUACAUCUGUCUUAACAAAAUUGGCUUAAAUAUUCUAAUUAAUCCUUAAAUAGGUGUUGUAAUAAGAAUUACAAUCUUUUUUGCUUUAAAUCAUUUAGAAACUACAAUCAUGUAUGUAACUGUCCAUGGUUUAACAUUGACUAUUCUCUACUCUUCUACUGGCGCUGAGGCUUUUCAGUACAGGGACCUUUUAUAUGAUAUCUGCUGGGGUCAGAGCUCAAACAGCAAAGCAUUCAAUCUGUAAAAAGUGAGGGUUGCAACAGAACAGUAAUGAUAGUUGUAGAUAACAAUCUGAAAAGCUGUAAGUAGUGAAAUAUGGUUGUUUGCUGUUAGAAAAUAUUUAUUUAUGUUUUCCCAGGACAUAAUCCAUUAUAUUGCCAACAAGGAAAAAUAAAUAACCAACAAAAAGACACAUAAUUAGGGUAGCAACACUCUUAAAUUAAAAGAAAUCAAGCUGGCUGAACUAAAAUUAGAUCAUCUGAAUAACGUAUGUCCAGAUCUACUAUUUUCUUUCCGCUCAAUUUAAUAGCAGGUUACAAUCCAAUCCAGGAACCAUUCAUGCACAUGUAUACUUCUCCUUAGUAAAGCAGGUCCAUUGAUUGGGACAGCUCCAGGAAGCAAAAUUAGAAUUUUAAUAAAAGUAUCCUCUUAAAAAAAUGCACAGCAACAAAUUUGAACUAAUUUCUAAGAGAGGGUGGGAGCAUCUACUUGUGCACUUUACUGCGGAGUUGUAAAGCAUCACCAUCUACACUUAUGGCACUAUUAAGCCAGAGUAAACUAAUUAACUCCAUCAUAGUAUAGCACCGCCUGACACAAGUACUACCCUAUGGUGGAGUUAUUUAGAGCAUCACAACGCACAAGAGUAGGGAAGGCUGGGGCACAAUGGUGCUACAGUGCAGGAACUGGCUGCCAGCGAUCCCUACACUGUAGCACACUCAUGUCCAGCCCCCAUGCCAGCAGGGGCUGCACCACCCCUGCUCAUUGUGCUGCGGUCCCAGGCAUGGGUAUAAAUGCUGCACCUGGGAGAAAUAACUCUUGAGUGAACUGUGCCAGAGUUCAUUCAGUCAUGUUAAUUGCAUGUUCAUAUGUGCCCAGUGUUUCUACGAUUGGUGGUCACUAAAAUUAAAUUUCUGUCAAUUAGCAACAGUUACAAAAAAAAUUAUCACAUGAAAACCUGAAUGCACCUUUUGUUAAGAAUUAAUCAUACUACUAGUUCUUUUGGUCUGUAUAAAGCAGAGACAGCCUAAGUUUGUUUUUUUUUUAAUACAUGAAAUGAGAGAGCACAGUUAUCCAUUAUAAAAACACAAAACGCUACACAACAAUCAGUAUAGACAAGAUCCUACAAGGAGCAUAUGUGCAGAGCUGUGCAUAAAAGUACAAGGUGAAGAAAGUGACCAAGAUACAGAGAAGAGAGGAAUAUGUAACUAAGGCUGCCUAUACACAUGAUCGGUGGGUGGGGAGUGGGGGUUAAUUAGAACAGUUCCCAGAUAGCUGCUCUAAUUAAAACGGCUCACCAUCACAUGUAUUAAGCUCCUGUGCAUUUCAAAAUGACUGCGGGAUGCUUUAUCUAAAGCUCAUUCGAAAAGGUUUAGAUAAAGCAACCUCAUGGCCAUUUUGAAACUUCUGGGGGGCUUAAUACACGUGACAAUGAGGUGAUGCUGGAGCAUUCUAAUUAGAAAGUGAAAGAGUAUGUCUACAGGCCCCCUAAAAUAGCAAGUAUGUGGAUAAUCCCUGCUUAGUAACAGGAAAAUUGCCAAAGAAAACUGGAAGAAUUAAGGUUGACAAGGCCUAGGAAAUAAUCCUCAAGGGAAUUAAAAGUAGGUUAAAACCAAAGAAAUUCCAUCCUGACAUUUUGCUGAACCAUGCUUCCAAUCACUCCUCCUCUAUGCCUCUCCAGCGAGUAGAGAAUAAUAAUAAAGUGUCAACUCCAAAAAUAAUGAUAAGUGCCCUUUAAAAGUCCCUAUCCACUCUGCAAUGUUCUGUGAUAGGUCCACUUUCUGAUAAUCUCUGUACAUUGAUGUUGUUGUCUGCCUAGGUCUUAGUCCUAUUUUCAGCUUCAUGGGUGCAGCUAUCACUGAUGUAGAUUCACAAAGCAGCCAGACUUUCAGGUUUAAGUAGCAGAGAGGUCCUUAUGCUUUCCAUGUACACAAGGUUGUAUCUCUCCUAUUAUGACUAGAUUUUAUAUUGUAGAAAUACGGUCAUUCUGCAAAU